CUGUACCUAAAUUUUGCCUCUCUGCAAACAUUUUGGAUAAAAGGAAACAGAUUUUAAAUAAACAUCGGCGAAAUUGCUCAACAAAACUAGAAUGGUUUGUUUGCAAAAAUGAUUCCACUACAGCUGAAAACACAUACCGCACAGAUGCAGCAACAGAUUUAAAUUAUGGAGCCAUUGUAGGUGGAUCGGUUGGUGUGGUCAUCAUUUUACUGAUAGGUGUUACUGUUACUUUGUGCAAACUCAGGCGAGUCGGAGUUUUCAAAAAAAAUAAUUCAAUGAAAUCGACAAAUGUAGCAUUUACGAAAUCAUUGAGUGGUGAAGCAACCAGUCAACAACACGUCAAUCAGGGUUAUGGAUUGGUAUAUCAAGGAAAAGAAAAAAAUAUCAAAACAAACAAUGCAUAUGCACAAGUGCAGAAAGUCAAACGAGUAGAGGAUACUCAUAUAGAGAGUUCAAAUGUAGACUAUGAUCAUUUACAUAACAUUGAUGGACGAAAACCAAAAGCUGGUGAAAAUACCUACGAUAGCAAUGCAGGAGUCCGAAAUCGUAACGAUCCCACAUAUGAUACUGCUACAAGUUCUACUGGAGUAGAUAUGGAUACGUACGAUCAUUCCUUUACAAAUAUGAAAACAUACUCUGAAUAUGACGUUUCAGAUUCAGGUUUGCAAAUCGAUAGAACAAACUAUGACGUAUAUGAUCAGGCUUGUUAACAAGAUUUGGAUCAGUAGUAUUCACCAGAAACCCUGAACAUCUUAUUUUGGUUUUAUAUCUAUUAAUACGUGCAUAAACAUUCGCAAUCGAAAAAAAGAAUGACAAUGGAAAUUUCCAUUACUCAUAUGAAGAAUGUGUUUCUGUCCUUCUCUGAAUUCUACAUUUAUGUGUUUGUCAAUGACGAAACGUUAUAUAUAAUAGG